CGAGCGGUAGCACAGGAGAGCUUGCUCUCUGGGUGACGAGCGGCGGACGGCGAGUAAUGUCUGGGAAACUGCCUGAUGGAGGGGGAUAACUACUGGAAACGGUAGCUAAUACCGCAUGACCUCGCAAGAGCAAAGUGGGGGACCUUUCGGGCCUCACGCCAUCGGAUGUGCCCAGAUGGGAUUAGCUAGUAGGUGGGGUAAUGGCUCACCUAGGCGACGAUCCCUAGCUGGUCUGAGAGGAUGACCAGCCACACUGGAACUGAGACACGGUCCAGACUCCUACGGGAGGCAGCAGUGGGGAAUAUUGCACAAUGGGCGCAAGCCUGAUGCAGCCAUGCCGCGUGUGUGAAGAAGGCCUUAGGGUUGUAAAGCACUUUCAGCGAGGAGGAAGGGUUCAGUGUUAAUAGCACUGAGCACUGACGUUACUCGCAGAAGAAGCACCGGCUAACUCCGUGCCAGCAGCCGCGGUAAUACGGAGGGUGCAAGCGUUAAUCGGAAUUACUGGGCGUAAAGCGCACGCAGGCGGUUUGUUAAGUCAGAUGUGAAAUCCCCGAGCUUAACUUGGGAACUGCAUUUGAAACUGGCAAGCUAGAGUCUUGUAGAGGGGGGUAGAAUUCCAGGUGUAGCGGUGAAAUGCGUAGAGAUCUGGAGGAAUACCGGUGGCGAAGGCGGCCCCCUGGACAAAGACUGACGCUCAGGUGCGAAAGCGUGGGGAGCAAAC
rnacentral:rRNA from 1 species